UACGGAGGGUGCGAGCGUUGUCCGGAAUCACUGGGCGUAAAGGGCGCGCAGGCGGCCUUAGAAGUCAGAUGUGAAAGCCCCGGGCUCAACCUGGGAAUGGCAUUUGAUACUCUGAGGCUGGAGUACGGGAGAGGAGAGUGGAAUUCCCAGUGUAGAGGUGAAAUUCGUAGAUAUUGGGAAGAACACCGGUGGCGAAGGCGGCUCUCUGGACCGUAACUGACGCUGAGGCGCGAAAGCGUGGGGAGCAAACAGG
rnacentral:rRNA from 1 species